rnacentral:rRNA from 1 species
GACGAACGCUGGCGGCGUGCUUAACACAUGCAAGUCGAACGGAAAGGCCCUGCUUGCAGGGUACUCGAGUGGCGAACGGGUGAGUAACACGUGGGUGAUCUGCCCUGCACUUCGGGAUAAGCCUGGGCAACUGGGUCUAAUACCGGAUAGGAGCCAUUUUCAGUGUGAUGGUUGGAAAGUUUUUUCGGUGUAGGAUGAGCUCGCGGCCUAUUAGCUUGUUGGUGGGGUAAUGGCCUACCAAGGCGGCGACGGGUAGCCGGCCUGAGAGGGUGGACGGCCACAUUGGGACUGAGAGACGGCCGAGACGCCUACGGGAGGCAGCAGUGGGGAAGAUUGCACAAGGGGCGCAAGCCUGAUGCAGCGACGCCGCGUGGGGGAUGACGGCCUUCGGGUUGUAGACUCCUUUCGCUAGGGACGAAGCUUUUUGUGACGGUACCUAGAGAAGAAGCACCGGCUAACUACGUG